rnacentral:rRNA from 1 species
AACGUAGGAUCCGAGCGUUGUCCGGAAUCACUGGGUGUAAAGGGUGCGUAGGCGGGCUUGCGCGUCAAGGGUUAAAGACCUCGGCUCAACCGAGGGAAUGCCCUUGAUACGGCAGGCCUUGAGUGCGGGAGGGGAUGGUGGAAUUCCUGGUGUAGCGGAGAAAUGCGUAGAGAUCGGGAGGAACACCGAAGGCGAAGGCAGCCUUCUGGACCGCCACUGACGCUGAGGCACGAAAGCGUGGGGAGCAAACAGG